rnacentral:tRNA from 1 species
GUGCGUGUGGUGUAAAGGCAGCACACGGCCCUGUGAAGGCUUCGGUGGUGGGUUCAAGUCCCCCCACGCACC